CCCAAUGUAUUCAUGUCUGAUUUGGCAGAGUCAUACAGUAUUGCAUGGAACAGGACAAUGGGUGCUCCUAAGAUGAGACUCUAUUGUACCUGGCAUAUGGACAGAGCAUGGAAAACUAAUAUCAAGCGGAAAAUUGCAGAUCUGGAUAAAAGAAAUGAGGUGUAUCAGCUUAUUAAAUCAGUGUCAAUGCUGAGAAAGGUAAGUAGGUUUCAGGAAUCACUGCAAAAAGCAUUGCAGAAGCUCAGUAGUGACCCUGACACAUCAGAAUUUGCUUCAUACUUCAAGACACACUAUGAGGGAAAUGUGGAGUGUUGGGCCUACUGUCACAGAACGUAUGCUGGUCUCAAUACCAACAUGCAUGUGGAGAGUAUGCAUAGGACGUUAAAGGAGAUACAUGGUAAUGCAAGACAGAUAAAACGACUGGACAAAGGCAUAUCUACACUAAUGUCCCUAGUUCCAGCCAAGAUGUUUGACUGGCUUAUAGCGAAUGUAAAAGGGAAGGUUACAAGCAAAGUUCAAGACAUUCGUAAUAAGCACAAAACUAGUUUGUUAAUGGACCUCAUGACUGAGGUAGAUGGUGGUUGGGAAGUGCUAUCCACAUCAUCUUCAGAGGUGUACAUUGUGAAAGAUAACAGAGUCAACUAUGAGUGCAAAUUAAAAUGUAGUGAUUGCAAUGUAUGCAUACAUAGGUAUCACUGUACAUGUAUGGAUUACAGUAUUAGAUUCAAUAUGUGUAAGCACAUUCACACUGUUUGCCGAGAUGACAGUGUCGGUGAAAAUUCCCUGCAAAGUCCAGAGGUACUGGGUACUGGUGUUGAUGUUGAAGCCACCAGUGAGAGAACAGCAAUAUUAGCCGAAGUAAGCACAAAAUCUGUUUCAAAAACACCAAAAUCAUUGUGAGAAGGGAAACAGAAGCUUAUUUCAGUGUUUUCCAAUAUUGUCAGUGGAAUGACGGAGACUGAACUGCAGUUGGCCAAAGAACUGUGUUAUCCUUAAAUUGAAAUGUAGGAGCUGUUCGAGCCCGAAACGGUUACGUCAGACAAACAGAUAAGGGCCACAAAAGAAUGCUAAUGCCACAGAGGAGGCUGUUUUCUACCAAGAAGAAAACAGCACGUAAUAUUUCUCUGGCUGUUCCAAAUGCUGAAGAAAGGUGUGAAAUAGUAAAAUCACUUCUGAAUGAGGGUAUGUAUCAAUUUUCAACUUAUUGAGUAGAUACGUUUAUGUGUUGAACCUUGGCAGAGUAAAAUAUAAUUCACACAAAGUUGACAGGUACUGAACACAAAUUCGUAUAUUAACCAUGAAUUACUUGAAAUUUAUGUGCAGAGCUCGACACGAAUCAUGAUGUUCCUGCGGAGCACAGUCGUGCCGUGCCAGAUGUACAGCACAGCAAAAGAGGGCUUGACACCAAAAAUCACUUGCAUGUUGUAGAACAACCACACACAUGUUAUGGCAGUCAGGUGUUCAUCAUGGUGUAUCAGGGCUGGACAUUAACCAUAUUGUUGCUGUGCAGCAUGGUUAUGCCAUACCAAUUGUGCAGCACAGCACAACAGGGCUUGACACCCACAAUCAGGCCCAUGUUGAACAACCACACACUAUGCCAUGGCAGCCAGGUGUUCAUCAUGGUGCAUCAGGGCCGGACAUGAACCAGUUUGUUGCUGUGCAGCAUGGUUAUGCCAUACCAAAUGUGCACAACAGGGCUUGACACCCACAAUCAGGUCCAUGUUGUGGAACAACCACACACUAUGUAAUGGCAGUAGGGUUAUCAUCAGGGGUGGACAUGAACCACAUUGUUGCUGUGCAGCAUGGUUACACCACAUCAAAUGUGCCACUCAGCACAGUCCAGAUUACAUCCACUCAACAGCAGAAUGGAAACGAUCUCAGUUUGCAAUAUGAGCAACUUGGUUAAAAAGAAACUCCAUCCCUUGAAGCUGAGUGAGCAGCACAUCAGUCUGGAUUAUGCUAUGUCAAGGAGCAGUGAGGGAGGUCCCAAACAUUUGGAUCUUGGCACUGAUGUCAAGUCAGGCCCCUUAGGCUGCCUCAAGAGCUGACUAUGAGGACUGGUAUCCACUCAGCCUUAUCUGGCCACCAGAAGGAGAGUGAAAAGAACCUUGGAAUUCCAUCACUUCAGAGGAGGCAAUCCGGAUCCAUUCAGCUUCAUCAAGCUUAGUGAAUGGCAAGACAGUCCGGCCUAUGCCAUUAUGCCAUCUUGAGGACUAAUGAAGUAAGUCCCAAACAUUUCGAGCUUGGCACUGAUGUCGAGUCAGGCCCCUCAGGUUGCCUCAAGAGUGAAGGACUUCAGAAGGCCAAGACUAGGAUCCACUCAGCUUUACCUGGCUGUCAGAAGGAGAGUGGAAAGGAACUUGAGCCGGCCGCUGUGGCUGAGCGGAUCUAGGCGCUUCAGUCCGGAACCGCACGACUGCUGCGGUCGCAAGUUCGAAUCCUGCCUCGAGCAUGGAUGUGUGUGAUGUCAUUUGGUUGGUUAGUUCCAGGGGACUGAUGACCUCUGAUGUUAAGUCCCAUAGUGCUCAGAGCCAUUUCAACCAUUUUGAAAGGACCUUGGAAUUCCAUCACUUCAGAGGUGGCAAUCCGGAUCCAUUCAGCAUCAUCAGGCUUAGUGAAUGGCAAGUCAGUCCGGACUAAGCCAUCUUGAGGACUAAAGAGGGAAUUUCCAAACAUUUGGAGCUUGUCACUGAUGUUGAGUCAGGCCCCACAGACUGUAUCAAGAGUGGAGGACCAUAUAUCCCCAAUAUCUGGACUUCAGGUCAGGACUGGGAUGCACUCUGCCUUCCCUGGCUGCCAGAAGGAGAGUGGAAAUGUCCAUGAAAUAUCAGCACUUCAGAGGUCAGGAUUAUGAUUCACUCAGCCUCAUCAGGCCUAGUGAAUGGCAAGUCAGUCCAGAAUGUGAUGCAUUGAAAGCAGAUGGGAAGGACCUGAGAUGUCUCUACCAUUCGGAGUUCAGGAUAGCAUUCCACCCUGUCCUCUACAGCUGCGUCAGGAUCAGAUUUGAAAGGAACUGCAAUAUCUGAUCCCAGAACUAAAGACCACUCCGCAUCUUCAGGAUGACUCGAGUUUGUGGAGGUCAAGGCAUCUAUAAUAAGUAGAAUUAGGGACUGAAAUGCUGUUGGCAUGGCCGGGUCACCACAGUAAUGCUUGAAGUCGAGUCAUCAAGAACUGGAUUUCUACAGCAUCAAUUACAGCCAGAGAAAUACUACGUUGUCACACACAUAGCACUGAUAAGAAGCUACAGUAGCUUUAGUGACAACGGGCAGCUCCUGUUGAUGGUUUUUGCAAACAUGCUGACUGAGAUUCUUUCUGUAAUUAUACUCUUGCCCACACACUUUGCAUUUAAAAUCACUCAUUUGACUUACUACCAUUAAUUGCUGGUUUCAUUCAAAUACAUGGAGCAAAUAUUGAAGACAUUGGGGCCGGCCAGAGUGGCCGAGCGGUUGUAGGUGCUUUAGUCCGGAACUGUGCGACUGCUAUGGCCGCAGGUUCGAAUCCUGCUUCAGGCAUGGAUGUGUGUGUCAUCCUUAGAACUACUUAAACCUAACUAACCUAAGUUCUAGGGGACUGAUUACCUCAGGUGUUAAGUCCCAUAAUGCUCAGAGCCAUUUGAACCAUUUUUGAAGACAUGGGUGUAAGUGCUACUCUGAGAUGAACAGACGGGAGUUUGUGUCUGUCUUUCUGACAAUUUCAAUACGAAUGAUGGUAACAUCAUCAUUGUGCAAGAUUUCUUGUAGCAUAAUUCACACAAUGUAUGUGUCCUCUGAAACAUUAUGAUGUAAUAUAACACAGCUGGAAAUGUUAUUAAUUUUAGUUUUUUUGAAAUAGGUGUUUCCCAGAUCACUGCAGAAGUUGUGUUCUAAUGCAUGACGAUUGGCAUAAACAUAAGAAUGUCCCAAUUGGACACUGGUGAUAGAUACUCGGGAUGUUUUCCAUGUCCUUACUACUGCACUUGUGACCUACACAAGCAUGUUUUUAAAGGUUUGAAAACAACAUCAAAAUUGGUGGGGGUAAAGACAAAUAGGUACUUUCAACUCUUAAGAUUUAUGUCUGUCAUUUAUAGUAAUGGAAGAUUGUUUGUUCACUGUCAUCAUGGUAGAAGCAGUAUUUCUCCUUAAGUGCCCAAUGUAAUUAUGUUUUUUUGUAUGUCUACUUGUAAUCUGUUGCUGUAAUACUUUAUUAUU